rnacentral:rRNA from 1 species
CAUAUCCAUAGUCGUCCGUACCGCAAACCGACACAGGUAGAUGAGAUGAGUAUUCUAAGGCGCGUGAAAGAACUCUGGUUAAGGAACUCUGCAAACUAGCACCGUAAGUUCGCGAUAAGGUGUGCCGCAGCAAUGCGGUCUCAGCAAAGAGUCCCUCCCGACUGUUUACCAAAAACACAGCACUUUGCCAACUCGUAAGAGGAAGUAUAAGGUGUGACGCCUGCCCGGUGCUCGAAGGUUAAGAGGAUGCGUCAGUCGCAAGAUGAAGCGUUGAAUUGAAGCCCGAGUAAACGGCGGCCGUAACUAUAACGGUCCUAAGGUAGCGAAAUUCCUUGUCGGUUAAAUACCGACCUGCAUGAAUGGCGUAACGAGAUGGGAGCUGUCUCAACCAGAGAUUCAGUGAAAUUGUAGUGGAGGUGAAAAUUCCUCCUACCCGCGGCAAGACGGAAAGACCCCGUGGACCUUUACUACAACUUAGCACUGCUAAUGGGAAUAUCAUGCGCAGGAUAGGUGGGAGGCUUUGAAGUAAGGGCUUUGGCUCUUUAUGGAGA